rnacentral:lncRNA from 1 species
UAUUUUAAUCCAUCCGUUUAAAAAAUAUAACACAUGUCCCAUGUUUUUGCUCUUGUUUCAUAAGUAACAUCUUUUAAAAUAUUUGUAUCUUAGCUAUUUCAAGAAGUCGAUCCUGACAGCUCUUUUGCUUCCACAAACAGGGACUCCCCAGGAGGCUGUGCAGCCCCAGGCAUGAUGUGCCUUGUGGGUUCACCAUCAAGAAAUGACCUGCCAUUCAGCUGGUAGGAGAGCUGUUGGCUGCAACACUGGAGCUGAGAACAUACUGUCCCAGAGGAGCCUGGUGACUUAGCAGGCCCACUGGUUAUGAAUGCAGGAUGGCAGACAGGGAAGGUGAUGUGGCUCCCUGGCAGCAGCGAUGGAAUUUUGCAAGCCACUGAGGUCAUCAAUACAUUCUUUGAAGGCUAUUCACCAACUGGCUGGAGGCCCCCAGAAAAGAAAUUUCCCAGAGGCCACAUUAAUUUUACAUCCAAUUGCCACUUACGUCUUCCCCUGUGUUCCUUCCCUACCCAAACUCCUGCUGUUCGCCAUCUGAGGUAAGCACUCUCCUAAAAUUUGUUUUUAUCAUUCUGAUGCUUUCGCAAAAUACUA